rnacentral:rRNA from 1 species
UACGAAGGGGGCUAGCGUUGCUCGGAAUCAUUGGGCGUAAAGCGCGUGUAGGCGGUUCGGUAAGUCCGCUGUGAAAGUCGGGGGCUCAACCCUCGGAUGCCGGUGGAUACUGUCGAGCUUGAGUACGGAAGAGGCGAGUGGAAUUCCUGGUGUAGCGGUGAAAUGCGCAGAUAUCAGGAGGAACACCAAUUGCGAAGGCAGCUCGCUGGGACGUUACUGACGCUGAGACGCGAAAGCGUGGGGAGCAAACAGG